AUUCCGGUUGAUCCUGCCGGAGGCCAUUGCUAUCGGAAUCCGAUUUAGCCAUGCUAGUCGCACGGGUUUAGACCCGUGGCGAAYAGCUCAGUAACACGUGGCCAAACUACCCUGUGGACGGGGAUAAUCUCGGGAAACUGAGGCUAAUCCCCGAUAGGGCUUCCAUCCUGGAGUGGGGGAAGUCCGAAAGUCGCGCUGCGGCACCACAGGAUGUGGCUGCGGCCGAUUAGGUAGACGGUGGGGUAACGGCCCACCGUGCCAGUAAUCGGUACGGGUGAUGAGAGUCAGAGCCCGGAGACGGUAUCUGAGACAAGAUUCCGGGCCCUACGGGGCGCAGCAGGCGCGAAACCUUUACACUCCACGACAGUGCGAUAGGGGGAUCCCGAGUGCGAGGGCAUACAGUCCUCGCUUUUCUGGACCGUAAGGAGGUCCAAGAAUAAGGUCUGGCCAAGACCGGUUGCCAGCCGCCGCGGUAAUACCGCCAGCCCAAGUGAUGCCCGAUACUAUUGGGCCCAAAACGUCCGUAUCU
rnacentral:rRNA from 1 species